rnacentral:rRNA from 1 species
UUAAUACUGGAUAGAUCAAAGAUACUGGAAUGUUCUUUGUUCGAAAGCUCCGGCGCCCAAGGAUGGGUCUGCGGCCUAUCAGGUAGUAGUGGGUGUAACGUACCUACUAGCCUACGACGGGUAAGGGUUGUGAGAGCAAGAGCCCUGAGAUGGAUUCUGAGACAUGAAUCCAGGCCCUACGGGGUGCAGCAGGCGCGAAGACUUUACACUGCGGGAAACCGCGAUAAGGGGACCCCGAGUGCCAGCACCUAGUGCUGGCUGUCCAGCUGUUCAAAAAACAGUUGUUAGCAAGGGCCGGGCAAGACCGGUGCCAGCCGCCGCGGUAACACCGGCGGCCCGAGUGGUAGCCGUUAUUAUUGGGUUUAAAGGGUCCGUAGCCGGCCUAUUAAGUCUCUUGGGAAAUCUGGCGACUCAAUCGUCAGGCGUUCA